rnacentral:rRNA from 1 species
UACGUAGGUGGCAAGCGUUGUCCGGAAUUAUUGGGCGUAAAGCGCGCGCAGGUGGUUUCUUAAGUCUGAUGUGAAAGCCCACGGCUCAACCGUGGAGGGUCAUUGGAAACUGGGGAACUUGAGUGCAGGAGAGAAGAGUGGAAUUCCACGUGUAGCGGUGAAAUGCGUAGAUAUCUGGAGGAACACCGGUGGCGAAGGCGGCAUCCUGGACCAAUACUGACACUGAGGAGCGAAAGCCAGGGGAGCAAACGGG